rnacentral:rRNA from 1 species
UACGUAGGGGCUAGCGUUAUCCGGAAUUACUGGGCGUAAAGGGUGCGUAGGUGGUUUCUUAAGUCAGAGGUGAAAGGCUACGGCUCAACCGUAGUAAGCCUUUGAAACUGGGAAACUUGAGUGCAGGAGAGGAGAGUGGAAUUCCUAGUGUAGCGGUGAAAUGCGUAGAUAUUAGGAGGGACACCAGUGGCGAAGGCGGCUCACUGGUCCGGCACUGACGCUGAGGUGCGAAAGCGUGGGGAGCAAACAGGAUUAGAUACCCGCGUAGUCCCUGAG